rnacentral:RNase_P_RNA from 1 species
GAAGCUGACCAGACGGUCGCCGCUUCGUCGUCGACUUUCGGGGAGACGGGCGGAGGGAGAAAGUCCGGGCUCCAUAGGGCGAAGGGUGCCGGUAACGCACGGGGAAACCCACGACCAGUGCAACGGGAAGCAAACCGCCGACGUAAGUGGGGAUCAGGUAAGUGAAAGGGGUGCGGUAAGAGCGCACCGCGCGGCACAACAGUCCGUGGCACGGUAAGCUCCACCCGGAGCAAAGGCCAAAUAGGGGUUCAUAAGGUACGGCCCGUACUGAACCGGGUAGGCAUAACGAGCCAGUGAGCGAUUGCUGGCCUAGAUGAAUGACUGUCCGCACGACAGAACCCGGCUUAUCGGUCGGUUUCACUU